UUGUCUUGACAGGAAUGAAUAGCACAAC
rnacentral:sRNA from 1 species